GAAGCGAAGAGGGUCCAUGUGGUCUUUAUCCCGAAAGUCCAGAAACCGUUCAGAUCAAUCUGAGCUGGGACAGAGGCCGGCAGAGACAAAAAACCUAAUUGAAUGCAAUGUUCUCUCAUGAUAUACUGUAUGUGAUAUAAUAUAACUUUGAUAAUGUAGUAAGCUGAUGAAUAU